rnacentral:rRNA from 1 species
AAAAUAAAAUUUGAUUUUAAAAAAAUUUAAUUUUUAAACUAGGAUUAGAUACCCUAUUAUUUUAAGCUUAAUGUUGGUAGUAAGUAAAAUUUAUGAAAUCAUAAAAUUUUGGCGGUAUUUUAAGCUUGUUAGAGGAAUUUGCUCUAUAAUGGAUACAACGCCUAUAUCUUACUUAAUUUUGUAAUUAAAGUCAGUUUGUAUACCCCUAUAUUUAAUUAUAUUGAAUAAUUAUAUUUAAGAUUUUUAUAUAAAUAUAUAUUAAGUCAAGGUGCAACAAAUAAUUA